rnacentral:lncRNA from 1 species
UGGGCCCCAGAGCAGUCCAUCUUCAAGGUCCGGAUAACAUGAGAAAUGAGCCUUCUCACAUUGUUGGGGAUAAGGGACUGUAGCUGCUGGGUUAGCUGAAUUUCAAACUGAGCAAUGGGUAAUUGAAGCUUUUGGGCUCGGGGGACAGGUCAGUGCCCACGUUGUUGUAUUCCCAUUUUGUCUCAGUUUGUUUAACAGUUGGCCCUAAGUUGAAUGCAGUCCCAGCGGAAUCUGCCUCAGGAGGAUGAUUGUAGUUUGUGUUUUCAGAGAUGGUGACUUCUGGCAUGUUAGUGUUUUCCAUAAAAACAUUUUCUUCCAAGGCAUUUCUUGCAGUUGUGUCUUUUAUAUUAGUGGUUUCUAUAAAAUGUUCUGAAGGAGCAGAUACUUCCAGAAAAGGGUUUUCUUGAGGACUCAGGUCUCCUAAGGAUGAAAAAGCCCCUUGUGAAGGGGAAUUUAUGAGGCUCUUCGCUGCAGAGAACGGAGGCCUGUUUGCGAGCAUCAGUCUACUCAGAUAACUUUUCUUUCUGAACUUUGGACUCUUUUUGACCUUGGGUGUUCUGUGGGUCAUGCGGGAGCGAGUUUUGUGAAAGCGGUAUUUUUUUCUGGAAUGUGAAAUUGGUUUAGAAGCCUUCAUAUUUGUAACUCUAGCCUUUGCACUUUCUAAAAUGGAAAUAGUGUGUGUGUUGUCUUUCCAUCUGUCUCUCACCUGUGGUAGGGCUUUUGCAGGGCUGGAGGUAGAAGGCGCGCCCUUGGAGAAGGGUGUCAGCACAGAGACUGCUGCCUUAUGCUCUUGGGUGAACGAAGGCUUGGUGUAGAUGGCGUUUCCCGCUAACUUCUCAGGCCCCUGCUGUGUGUGAGGCUGUUCCAGCUCCCUUGGGGCUGGACUCCCGAGCCUUUUUUCUUCGGCAGCGUUCUCCACAGAUGCCUGGGCACCCUGUUCCCUCCUGAUGCUCUGCCUUCCCACCUCUUUGAAGUGCCUUUUCUGGAUGCUCCUUGGGCCCAUGAGGACUCUAUUCACUUUUUGCUGGUUUUGGCCUACAGUUUGAAUCUUUGCCAGGCUGUUUCCUGUGGUUGGCAGUUUAAUGAACGGUAGUAACAUUGAUUCCACAUCUAGGUUUACUGCUGAGAAAUAUGGCAAAUGUAACUUAGUGCACUGAUAACCUCACUCUCGUCAUUGGUGUCUAGCUGCUCACUCCCAAAGCCUGACAAGUUGAUGCCACUGCUGUCUGAGGGCUCCUCCGGCUCAACAGUCAGCUCAGUGCUUGUGUAAUUCUUCCGGGCUUGUAACGUCUUCAUGAAUGCUCCUUCUGGAUUCCCUACAGAUUCUUCUUCAGCUGUCAAAAAAGAGACUGCUUUGCUCAUGAAAGAUGAUGGGAUGGGAUGCAUCAGUCCAUAGCUGUACACCCCAGUCACACAGAGUAGGAGUCAGCAAACAUUUGAGUGCCAUUCAGAGAGGAGACACACACACCCAAUCCUAAACCUAUGAAAUGGCAACAACAAAAGGAGAAAAUAUAUCUUUUGAAAACACGGCCAUCUACUUGGAACAUUCCAUAGUGUGACAUAGAGUAACUCUGCUUAGGAUUAUUUCAUUGAUCCCCAGGGUCCAAUUGCCCAGUGCUCAGUCAAAGCCCAAGGUGGAAGACAAGUGCUUCCCUGAUGAG